CACGCCCUGAGCCGAAGGCAGACGCUUAACCGCUGUGCCACCCAGGCGCCCCAAGCUCUGUCCAUCCCUGCCUCUCGUCACCUCAUCGCCUCUCCUUGCCUGGGCUCCCAGUUCCUGCUCACUCUGGCCAAGAGCUUGGCACCCUCUGGGCAGAAAGGUCUGGGGACACUUGUCAGGCAUCUGUAGAAUUUUGCCAGGAUCCAAGAAGCCUUCAUCAUGGUGCGGAAAGCGUUAAGACCCAAGCCUUGACGGAUGAGUUGGAACUUUGGAAGGUAGAAAUGGGUUAAAACAAAACGCAGUCAGAUGGAAGGGAAGGUGUGAGCAAAGACAGAGAAGUAGUAAAGUCGGGGAGAUGUGUGAGCAAUGAUCUGUCCUCCACUUAGACAGACAGUGUUUCCCAAGAAUCUUUGACCGUGGAGGAUCUCACGAGAUGAGUGACCUGAGGAGCGCACUUCAAGAAAGACGGCAGAGAGAGAGAGUGAGUGUGUGUGUGUGUGUGCACACGUGUGCAUAUGGCAGAGAAUAGAAUAGUGAGUGCGGUGGUGUCCGUGCUUGCUCCUGGAGGUGGGGAUUCUCAGUAUCCCUUCCACAGAACACUGGCCGGCCGCAGAGGUUCUCUGUGGUCCUGCAAUAAGCAUGGGAGGGGCCACAAACAGAGUCCUCCUCCGGAUUGGAUUCAGGAUUCCGGAGCCAGUAGCAUAUUAAAGGCCACUCCCCCACCCCCACCAGUCCUGCAGCAAAGACACUUUAACUUUGCUUAUCCCUGCGUGGACCAAACUGACUUCACCAUGAAUCCCUUUGUUUCAGGGAACAUCUUUAUUUGGGGGAGUAGGGGGCUAAUUUUUUUUUAAUGUUAACAUGUACUUAUGGUAUGAAUACAUUUCAAGCAGAGCAAUGGGGUAUGCCGUGGAAAGUUUUCUUCCCAGCCUUGGCUCCCUUAGACUCCUAGUUUUCUUCUUCCACGGGGUGGCUCUUCUGUAUCUUUCCAUCCUCGGGAUAUGAGAUACGUUCCUCUAGUGAUGGCAUCAAGAUUGUUUCUAGCCUUUUGUUCAUCUGAGCUGGGGGUUGGUACACCAUGGCUUGCUGGCUAAAUCCAGCCCACUGGUUCUUUUUGUUUUUUCUUCUUCUUCUUCUUCUUUUUUUAGCAGUGAACCCCUAUGGUCCUCAAGCUAAAGGCAUCACUAUCUUGUCCUUAAUAGCUCCAAACAAUGCUGUUACGAAUAUCCUUGCCCAUCAUUGCAAACAUGUGCACGCAGAUCUCUCAUAAAUAUACCCUAUUUGGUCUAAGCCAAUCUGAGGGGCAUAGCUCACUGUUUAGCUGAUUUUUCUUUUGUUUUGAGUGAGGUUAAGCAUCUUUUCACAGAUAUAAAAAUGUUUAUUUUUCUCUUUUUUGUAAAUUUUAUUUCUUUCUAAUUGGAUAAAGAAUAUGAACAAAGGCAUUUUUGUUAUUGCUUUAUAGAAAAAUUAAAGGAAUUCGCAUUUUGUCUGUCUCAUGUAUAAAUGUUUCCUCCAUUUGUCAUUUGUCUGACUUUAUGUUUUUUUUAAAGAUUUAUUUCUUUCUUUCAGAGAGAGAGAGAGCGUGAGCAGUGGGGAGAAGGCAGAGGGAGAGGGAGAGAAACCCUCAAGCAGACUCCCAGCUGGACACGGAGUCUGAGGCUGGGCUUGAUCUUGAUCUCAUGACCCUGAGAUCAUGACCUGUGCUGAAAUCAAGAGUUCGAUGCUUAACCAAUGGAGCCCCAGGCGCCCCUAUGAUUUUUG